GCACUUUCAUGGGGAAGAAUUUAGUAAAGCUAAUAUCGAUACUAAUUGACGUUACCCAUAUAAGAAGCACCGGCUAACUCCGUGCCAGCAGCCGCGGUAAUACGGGGGGUGCGAGCGUUAAUCGGAAUUACUGGGCGUAAAGAGUACGUAGGUGGCUUGUUAAGUCAGAUGUGAAAUCCCUGAGCUUAACUUAGGAACUGCAUUUGAAACUGAUAAGCUAGAGUUUCGUAGAGGGGGGUAGAAUUCCAGGUGUAGCGGUGAAAUGCGUAGAGAUCUGGAGGAAUACCGGUGGCGAAGGCGGCCCCCUGGACGAAAACUGACACUCAGGUACGAAAGCAUGGGGAGCAAACAGGAUUAGAUACCCUGGUAGUCCAUGCCGUAAACGAUGUCGAUUUGAAGGUUGUGACCUGUGAGUUAUAGCUUUCGUAGCUAACGCGUUAAAUCGACCGCCUGGGGAGUACGACCGCAAGGUUAAAACUCAAAUGAAUUGACGGGGGCCCGCACAAGCGGUGGAGCAUGUGGUUUAAUUCGAUGCAACACGAAGAACCUUACCUACUCUUGACAUCCAAAGAACUGUGUAGAGAUACGCGGGUGCCUUAGGGAGCUUUGAGACAGGUGCUGCAUGGCUGUCGUCAGCUCGUGUUGUGAAAUGUUGGGUUAAGUCCCGCAACGAGCGCAACCCUUAUCCUUUGUUGCCAGCGAGUCAAGUCGGGAACUCAAAGGAGACUGCCGGUGAUAAACCGGAGGAAGGUGAGGAUGACGUCAAGUCAU
rnacentral:rRNA from 1 species